rnacentral:rRNA from 1 species
UACGGAGGGGGCGAGCGUUGUUCGGAAUUAUUGGGCGUAAAGGGCGCGUAGGCGGCCCUGUAAGUCAGAUGUGAAAUCCCAUGGCUUAACCAAGGAACUGCAUCUGAAACUGCGGGGCUUGAGUCCGGGAGGGGAGAGCGGAAUUCCCAGUGUAGCGGUGAAAUGCGUAGAUAUUGGGAGGAACACCGGUGGCGAAGGCGGCUCUCUGGACCGGUACUGACGCUGAGGCGCGAAAGCUAGGGGAGCAAACGGG